rnacentral:rRNA from 1 species
CCUACGUGUGGCAGCAGUGAGGAAUAUUGGUCAAUGGGCGGGAGCCUGAACCAGCCAAGUCGCGUGAGGGACGACGGUCCUAUGGAUUGUAAACCUCUUUUGUCGGGGAACAAAGGCGCCCACGGGUGGGCGGAUGAGUGUACCCGAAGAAAAAGCAUCGGCUAACUCCGUGCCAGCAGCCGCGGUAAUACGGAGGAUGCGAGCGUUAUCCGGAUUUACUGGGCGUAAAGCGCUCGUAGGCGGUAUGUCAAGUCAAGGGUGAAAUCCCCGCGCUCAACGUGGGAACUGCCUUUGAAACUGGCAAACUGGAGUGUGUGAGAGGAUAGUGGAAUUCCAGGUGUAGGAGUGAAAUCCGUAGAUAUCUGGAGGAACAUCAGUGGCGAAGGCGACUAUCUGGCACAUAACUGACGCUGAGGAGCGAAAGCGUGGGUAGCAAACAGGAUUAGAUACCCUUGUAGUC